GCCUUCUCUGUUCUCUUACAAUGAUUUAUUUUAUGUCUCUCUAAGACAAGUCAUAGAAGGAUAUUCCUAUUAUUCCUAUGUUGCAUGUGGUUAGAGAUGCCUUCACCUUGUCAGGCAACAUGCAUCAUGUGCCCCUGUUAUUUCUAGGCUGUAUGAUAUUGUGAAGCAUUCUGGAUAUCUAUUAUCAUUGUUGAUCUGUUUCUGUAUGUAUCAAGACGAAGGGGCUUAGAUAAUAAUUAUACUAGUUUGGGUAGAUCUUUUGAAACUUAAUGCUUAUAGCAACAGUUUUGCAGGUAGAUAUUAUUGUUAUAUUUGUAUGUUCUUUCAAAAUUUGCGCGCAACUAAAACUCACUCCAAUUCCACUUUUGGCUCUGAUAUCUUUAUGACAGAAUGGUUUGCUCCCAGUUACUAGUCCUUUAAUCUUUGGUGAAAUGGAAUUCUCUCUGAGCUCUGCAGUUAAGCUUUACCCAAUAAGUAGGGCUACUUAUAUUACCUUAGGAUUCAACUGUUUUGUUUGAUGUGCCAUCAUUUCACAUUUAUACGUCGUCUUAGUCAGCCGUGCACGCAUGGAACGUGAAAGUCAACAUACAUUGGUUGUCUGGAAAAAUCAUCUAUGCUAUCAAAUCUGCUUCCAAUUGUUAUUUGGCUUGAAUGAACAUCUUUGAUUAAAAUCUUUAGACCAAGGUAAUCCAAUUUUGCAGUUCUGACUGGACAAGUCAGUUUAGAAUUGUUAACAUUUCCUUUCCCUCAAAUAUUAUACUGUAGCUUUGUUAAAUUUCACGUUGUGUUUUUGUGUGCCUACUUCACAUUUUGUGGUAAAAUUUUGUGCAUCUUAUUGUGAUAUAUUUCAUGUAUGCGAAUUAUUUAG
rnacentral:misc_RNA from 1 species